UACGUAGGGGGCAAGCGUUGUCCGGAAUUAUUGGGCGUAAAGAGCGCGUAGGCGGUCCGAUAAGUCGGCUGUGAAAGUCCAGGGCUCAACCCUGGAAAGCCGGCCGAUACUGUCGGACUAGAGUCCGGAAGAGGCGAGUGGAAUUCCCGGUGUAGCGGUGAAAUGCGCAGAUAUCGGGAGGAACACCGGUGGCGAAGGCGGUUCUCUGGGCCUUACCUGACGCUGAGGAGCGAAAGCGUGGGGAGCGAACAGG
rnacentral:rRNA from 1 species